rnacentral:rRNA from 1 species
UCCUACGGGAAGCAGCAGUAGGGAAUCUUCCACAAUGGACGAAAGUCUGAUGGAGCAAUACCAUGUGAACGAUGAACGCCUUUUUGGUUGUAAAGUUCUUUUACGAGGGAUAAUUAUGAUAGUACUUCGUGAAUAAGUGACAGCAAACUAUGUGCCAGCAGCUGCGGUAAUACAUAGGUCGCGAGCAUUAUUCGGAUUUAUUGGGCGUAAAGCAAGCGCAGGCGGAUGUGUGAGUUCUGUGUUAAAUGCAGCUACUCAAUAGUUGUAUGCACCGAAUACUACAUGUCUAGAUUGUGGUAGGGAGUUUCGGAAUUAAGCAUGGAGCGGUGGAAUGUGUAGAUAUGCUUAAGAACACCAGAGGCGAAGGCGGAAACUUAGGCCAUAAAUGACGCUUAGGCUUGAAAGUGUGGGGAGCAAAUGGGAUUAGAUACCCCAGUAGUCCACACCGUAAACGAUGGGUAUUAGAUAUUAGGGCUUUAGCUUUAGUGUUGUAGCUUACGCGUUAAAUACCCCGCCUGGGUAGUACAUAUGCAAAUAUGAAACUCAAAGGAAUUGACGGGGACCUGA